rnacentral:lncRNA from 1 species
UGGGGAUAACAUACCUCCCUAAUCUGAGAAUAAGGACUUGGUUGUCUUUCUUUUCUUUUGGGACCUUUGUCCUCUUUCUUUCUUUUCUCUCUUUUUUUAGAUCAGCCAAUCCAUAUAACUGAAAUAACUGGAGCUUUAUUGGAUAAGUAGAAUAAGACUUAAUGAAUUUUUUGGGUGUCUUCUCCCAGUGUAGGAGUAGAACAUUUUCUAAAUGGAUGUGGAAUAUGGAUGGGUGAAUGCGUACUCCUAGGGUAGGAGUAGCAUAAGUCCAUAUCUCCAGGAUGGAAACAAUAUAGAGUGUAGUGCGUAUAUGUGGGUGGUACUUCUAGGAACAAAAGUAUCACAUAGUGAAUAUGGUGGAUGCAAGUGAUUGCAUACUUCUAAUGACAGAAGUAGCUAAGAUCAAUGGAUGGAGAGCACAUAGUAUUGACUUUAACUACAUGACUAGUCCCUUAGGAUCUACA